CCACUUUCUUCAAACCCAGGAUCCUGGCAAACUGCAAGAAUUCUAAUGAGAAUGUUGAAGACUUGUUGUCUGGGCAUCACUCCUCAGAUGCGUCUGGCUGGGACAGUGACCUGUCAAGCAUCCUACUGCUGGUUCACCUACUUCCCCCUACUGCAAAAGGACCCAAGAGUCGUAAAAUUAGCUCGCAUCAAGCAAUCAAACAUGUUGUGAGAUAUUUGAGGAUUGGCGCCAGUGUUGAGACCUUCCUUGAGAGAUUGGAACCUGGACAACCCAUCCUCCUGUGUGUCGGUGAAGAGAAGAACAACAUCCAAAGAUUCUAUGUCAUCGUUGACCACAAGGCCAUCCCUUGCAAGGCUCAGACGUCCCUGGCAGCUUUCGAUGAACUCUUUAAGGCCCACUUCAUCUUCAGUGUUCACUACCACGAAUCCCUUAACAGCUUCUACACAUUCAUCCAAACAACUGUGUUCAACAUUGAUGUGGGAAGUACCAAGGAAAGUCCUCGUGUGAAGGAGCUCAGAGCAAGACUGCUGAACACAAGUAUCUGAGGUGACACACAUCCUUGGCUGCAAAUAUGUUGAUUUGUUUUAUCUGCAAGUUACACCACAUAAGUUCUAUGUUGCUUUGUAAGCAUUUGAGAUUUUACCAUGGUUUAUAUCCAGGAAAGACAUUACGUUUGAAAUGUGGACAGCCGGGAUGUUCUUUAUUCUUUUGCACUUAUUCAGGGUUCAAGAAACACCUUAUUCGUUUGCACCGGGACACUGUUUCAACAAAUACUGUUAACAGUAUGGACACUCAAAUAAUAGAUGAGCCUUCAACUUCAAAUGCAGUCAGUACAGAUAUUCCAGUAACCACCAAUGUCUCUGUUGACAAGCAUAAUUUGGUAAACAUGUGUUGUUCUGUUGUAGCACAGUUGCAAUCAUCAGGUGUUGCUGAGAGCACUAUCCAAUCAAUGGUCGGGUCAAUGGAAGAGCUUGUAAACAAUAUUCACAGUCAAACGAGAGACUCAGUUCUCAACUGCACUUCAGAGAUGCAAGGAACAGACUUUGAAAAAAAGCUAGACAGUUGUUUUGAACAACUACAAAAUCCUUUCUCAGUCUUAAAUACAAGAGCCAAACGACAGAAGUAUUUCAAGGAAAAGUGGGAAAUAGUUGAGCCAGUUGAGUAUGUUCUUGGGGUGCGAUUUGAUGUACGUAGAGAUCGAACAACAGGAGUUUACAAUCAGAUCCCUGUAACGGAUAAGUUUGUGUAUGUACCCAUCUUAGGAACCCUGAAGUCUAUGUUCAAAAAUAGUGAAAUUUGUGAAUGUUUCCUGCAGGCCAAACAAGAGGAAGAAGGAUUUUUUAAAGAUAUAUGUGAUGGGUCAUACUUUA